GAACAUCAGUGUUGGCUGUGAGUUCGGCUGUGCCAGCUCCUUAGCAACUUAUCGCAUUCGUCUCCCACCGAGGUGUGAAUGUUGGGUUCAUCUGGCAGGACCAGAAUCAGAGAAAGCACCGCCGGGUAUGGGUGUCAACGAGGCCUUUUUAGAGAUCUCGGAGGACAAGAAAAAUCAUGAUCGUGCGUACAUUUACAUCAAAGGAGAGUGUGCUCAAAACGGAUCUUGUAUAACACAUAUUCCAGAAUAUUUCAAAG